rnacentral:rRNA from 1 species
AACGAACGCUGGCGGCAUGCCUAACACAUGCAAGUCGAACGAGACCUUCGGGUCUAGUGGCGCACGGGUGCGUAACGCGUGGGAACCUGCCCUUAGGUUCGGAAUAACUCCCCGAAAGGUGUGCUAAUACCGGAUAAUGUCUUCGGACCAAAGAUUUAUCGCCUUUGGAUGGGCCCGGGUUGGAUUAGCUAGUUGGUAGGGUAAAAGCCUACCAAGGCGACGAUCCAUAGCUGGUCUGAGAGGAUGAUCAUCCACACUGGGACUGAGACACGGCCCAGACUCGUACGGGAGGCAGCAGUGGGGAAUAUUGGACGAUGGGCGAAAGCCUGAUCCAGCAAUGCCGCGUGAGUGAUGAAGGCCUUAGGGUUGUAAAGCUCUUUUACCCGGGAUGAUAAUGACAGUACCGGGAGAAUAAGCUCCGGCUAACUACGUG